UACAGAGGAUGCAAGCGUUAUCCGGAUUUAUUGGGUUUAAAGGGUGCGCAGGUUGUUUGAUAAGUCAGUGGUGAAAGUCCGUCGCUUAACGGUAGGAUUGCCAUUGAUACUGUUGGACUUGAAUAUGGAUGAGGUAGGCGGAAUGUGUAGUGUAGCGGUGAAAUGCAUAGAUAUUACACAGAACACCGAUUGCGAAGGCAGCUUACUAAUCCAUCAUUGACGCUGAGGCACGAAAGCGUGGGGAUCAAACA
rnacentral:rRNA from 1 species